AAUUUCCUUAACCAAAAGAAGAAUUAGAGCCACAAGGACGGGUGAAGAGAUGCAGAUUUAAGUGGCCAUCAUCACUGUACUGCCACACGGAAGUGAUUUACCUCCCCCAGUGAAUGCAAGAUACUGUCGGUGUUACGUGGAACAAAUGCAACCAGCUCAUAUCAACUUUCCUCCAAGAGUAUUUCUACUGAGCCUUGUUUUCACUGAGGAAUCGAUAGUGCUAGAAGCUCUGAGGUUCAGCAGGCCCUCAAGUUGGGUGUCAAGAUUGCUCUGCAGCCUCCAGGUCCAACUGUCCUUCCUCUCUCUGCUUAAGAAUUCAAGAGCCUCAUGGGCCUCUUCUGGUUCUAAAGAAUACAGCAAGGACAUCGUCCAAAUCAGGUAAAGGGUCUGCCCCUUGUAUGGUUCAUGAAAUAUGACCCAUGGAUUUAAAAAAUGGAUACGAUGGUACUAUGCAGAGAAGGAACAGAUUAAAUUAUAACCUCUAGAGGCAAGACAUGUAUCUUAUUUAUCUUCAUCCUUCUUCAUGGACUAACAAAGGACCGUGACCAAUAAUUUUGACCAAGGAAUUAAAAAAAUAAAAAAUAGAAUUGGAACAAACAAACAAAUACCAGGAAUAAAAAUGUCAUUGAUGCCAUAUACUCAUAUUUGGGUUUCUAAACUCUACAACGAAUACCCAUGUCAUGCUUUUUGCACACGAGGAAGUAGAUCUAAAAGUGCCCCCACGUACUGAGG